AACCUAUGAUGACACGAUUCUGCCAAAUGAAAUCUGCUGAUUAUACCCUUUACCGUUCCAUAUUGUCUGAGGUU